rnacentral:rRNA from 1 species
UACCGCGAAGAACCUUACCAGGUCUUGACAUCCUCUGACAAUCCUAGAGAUAGGACUUCCCCUUCGGGGGCAGAGUGACAGGUGGUGCAUGGUUGUCGUCAGCUCGUGUCGUGAGAUGUUGGGUUAAGUCCCGCAACGAGCGCAACCCUUGAUCUUAGUUGCCAGCAUUCAGUUGGGCACUCUAAGGUGACUGCCGGUGACAAACCGGAGGAAGGUGGGGAUGACGUCAAAUCAUCAUGCCCCUUAUGACCUGGGCUACACACGUGCUACAAUGGACAGUUUUAUUAAACAGCGAAACCGCGAGGUUAAGCCAAUCCCAUAAAUAUCACCUUCGGAUCGCAGUCUGCAACUCGGGUGCGUGAAGC